rnacentral:lncRNA from 15 species
GCAAAGCAAACCAGGAUUAAAGAGGCAGCCAUGGACCAGGUGUUACAAAACCUGAAGACUUCUUUGUCUCAGAAGAGGGCCCUGGACACACAAGAUCACCUCUAUAGUUCUGAGAAUGAAUCUCCACAACGUGUUCAUGGGGUAAGGCAUACUUNNNNNNNNNNNNNNNNNNNNCAUAACUAAGGGAUGGUUCAGGACUCACCUGAUCCAGCCCUAACUAUAAGCUUUAUCAAAGAGGAAUGUCUUAAGCCUACUCUUGAAUGUGGUUGAAGUCUUCUGUAUUUUGUUGUUCUUGGCGUCUCUGGUUGAGUCUCGUCAGAAUUCAAAUGUCUCUUCAAGUUUCGUUUUGCUGGCAUGAUGAUUUUGUAUAGUAACUGUAUUAUGACAGUGUCUGACCAAUCAAGUGCAUCAGUUUUUCACUUUCAGCCAAUCAGAGCUGCAGACGUUCUCAUCCGACAUCCGUUGCAUCUGAGCGAGGUCAGGUCAGUCGCGUGAAAGCAGGUUUGCAGGUUAGGAGGAUACAAUGUUCAAAUUCGCCAUCUACUACUUAUUUGAUAAAACACUUAAAGUGGAAAGUACGUCGCUCAUUCUUGGUAGCGACCAGUUCACCCAAGUGGCCUCCCAGCCGGACCUUGAUGACGACACGAACUGGAUUGAAAUAAAAUGGCCCACGAGCCAAACAGGACGGUGCCUGCUAAGGUGCUGUUAUUUGGAGGCAAGUAUGGAGCACGGUAAUGGGUAAUAGGUAUUCUGAAUACCUAUUAUUUUUCCAACUAGGUCAGCCAGCUAGCAGCUAACUGUUUAAUUUGGUCGUUGUUAGGAAAAAUGUCUAGGCUAAACUUAUUUUUGUACUCUUCUCGUUAUAUCAGAUUCUUACAAAGAACUUGUGUCGAAGAAGAAUUUCUUCCUUCUCGGUAAGGAUAUCUGGGCCGAGGAGGAAAGCAGGGGUGUGCACAUGAAAAAGAAAAUGUGUGAGACCGACGUAGUGAAGCCUAAAACGGCCAUACAGGCAAAGCAAACCAGGAUUAAAGAGGCAGCCAGGGACCAUGUGUUACAAAACCUGAAGACUUCCCUGUCUCAGAAGAGGGCCCUGGACACACAAGAUCACCUCUACAGUUCUGAGAACGAAUCUCCACAACGUGUUCAUGGGGGAAAGCGAGCAAGGAUUAACAAGGCAGCAAGACGUGUGCUUUUACCCCUGGCAUCCAGUCCAAGUUCUGAUGAAGCCACAUACAUAGGAAGUCCACAACGGCAUGACAUUGUAAGUCAUACUUCUUUCCCAGCUGUUGUGUACUCUCAGACAAAAAUUCUUUCUCUGUUGUAUUGCUUGUCACAGUUAUUUUCUCUUUUCACUUUUUAAAGUUUCAAGACGAAGAUGAAGAGUUGGGUUUCUCCUCAGCCCAGAGAAUGGCAAGUACAUUUAUGUUGAAUAUUAUAUUAUUAUGGUAAAAUUAUAUUAUAUUGAAUGAAAAGGUCAGGCAAAGGUCAGAGAUCUUACACCCAACUGCAUGGAAAACUUAAUCUCACAAUUGUUACAUAUCUUAUUUUCACAUAUAAACUCCUUUUGGCUGUCAUGUGCAUGCCAACUAAGCAUAAUGUAUUUCAUUUACUUUUAUUUAAUAUAUUCAACAAUAUAAUCAUUUUCAAACACCUUUCAUUAAUGUUUUGUCCCACACGGUAGUGUGGAUUAGAAGAGUGUCCUUUAAACAUACUGUAUUUCCUUUGAGAAAUAAAGUAUAGAAGUCAAAAACAUGCGCAUGCAC